GUAUAAAGGCAUCCGUCCUUUCCCUGUCCUAACUGCUCAGCAAACUUUAGGAGCAGUCUUUAAAAUAACAAAUAAUCUUGAGAAACAAGAAGCACCAUUUGAAGCAGUGCAAGGAAGUACAUUAAGUUUUCCCACCACAGGGCGACAACAGUUUUAAAAAUGUCUAAUAGGACGGCACAACGCUGAAGGCGUGAGCCCCAAACCAAACAGCUGAAGGCGUACAGAGUCACCAGUACUGACCCUGCUUUACAGAAGUUCCCAUUGCAAAACUUCCCUGGAAUUAUGUGAGCACUGAUUUAUGUGAGGUGGUUAGAACAUACUGCUUCCAUACAACGGGAAUUUGCCAGACGGGAGAAAACAAUGAAGCAUGAAGUGACAGGAGUAAAUAAAACACAGACCACAGAGCCUGUUCCACUGUCAGGAGUGGACGGCGACUCCACCCCAGAGCUUCCCAGCGGUAAACACGAGGAAGAAAGCUCAAUUACUACAGGAUUUGCGGGUUCAUGAGUCCAAAAUGACUAGUUGUUUCAGAAAGGCACAACCUUUUCUGGGAGAGAGACCAGAGAGAAACACUCCCGAGUCUCACAAGGAAGGCUUGACCUAUUUUCACGAGCAGCAACCUGUGAACUGUCUUAUUAACAAAGAUACAACUUUUACAAGGAAAAUUCAUCAAGCUCGACUUCGGAAAUACCCAUUUCAGAAAGAAAACAUUUGUCAUGAAGCAACCACGGGACAUCUAAAUUACCCACUUAAUUGAGAAAUAUUUCCCAGAUGCUGACAAGGUAUCUUUGGUGGAAAAUAUAUACUUAUCUCCAUGUGUACCUUAAUAAAUUGUCAGUUUAAGUCAGUAAA